GGCAAAUCAAAGGUUUCAUCUUCGUCCCAACACUUACAAGUUUAACGUGCUAAUAGUCAAAUUACAACAAAAGAAUUGAAUAUUCAUCACAUGGAAAAUAUGAUUGCAAGAAGAGGAAUGAGAAUCAAUUUCGCAUCCUAGAAUUCCUUCAGUUGAUUUCGACUUGUCACUUACUCUUAAUAUUCAAUGCCAAGCUUUGAUUAUUUUAACUCUUGAUAUCUAUUGUCUUGAAUAUCUUCUUAGCCUUCUUCACGUUCUUGAAUGAAGAAUUUCUAAUCUUGCAUCCCAAAUUAAGUUAAAUCAUUGGUCAAAUUGAUUUCCAAGAGAGGACGACAAAAUCAGAAAGGAAACAAAAUUUUUCUACCUGUAUUUGUACCAUAUAAGCCUUGCAAUUGCAAGGGCAAUUGCCCUGUUCAAACCAUUGAUCUUUCUCAUUAUGUCAAGUUAGUCUCCAUUCUCUGAAAUAUGCACAAAAUACAUCAUUUUCACCUGGUUUUCGUUCAUUUUCUUCGAAAGCUCGUCAAAAUUCAAUUUUUUCGAAACAAUCAAUGUUUACAUGAGAUUAAAUGCUUUAGAUGUGUACACGUAAAUAUUUUGCUUGUACACAUAAUUCAAUUGAAAAUCUUAAAAAUGUUGUUUGUUAAAUAUUUUCCAUCAUAUAGCUGAGCAAUACCUUUUACUUGUGCACUUACGAGCUGCUAGCUUAGAAUGCAAAAAUGUUGAUAAUAUUCAAGUUUCUUCCAUUUUCGCUUUACAAAAUCGUGCCCAAAAAUAGGAGGUGGUUCAUUCAAGCUAAUGAGGAGCAACUAUUGAAUGACGUGCUAUGGACAGUGGCGAAUUCAAAAUGGAAGUCAGUUAGGGUGAUAGUUGACUGUCAAUGCUCCGUUAACCUUCAACAAUCAAUGAAUGUAAUAUUAUUAAUAUUUAAUUAAAUAAUAUUAGAAAUUCUUCAAUUUAUAUGCAAACGCACAAAAAUGUAAAAACUAUAUACAUAUUAAAAUAUAAUUCGAUGGAGGUUAGAGGAUCAAUAUGCGUAGUCUCUUAUCAGAACAUGUCACGAUCAGUUUAAUAUUAAAAUUAAUUAAACGGGCAUUAUAUAUUAGCAAAAUCAAUUGUUCCGAUUAAAAAAUCAAACUUGUACAAAUUACUUAUAAUUUGCAAAAUUUCCCAAUAAUCGUUUAGGUAGGAACUAGGCAGGGUUUUCUUUGAAUUAUUUAUCACAAAUCAUAGUCAUGACUCAUAAAUGAUAAAUCAAAAAAUGAAUUAAAAGAACCAAAAAAAAAAAGUAAAGGGAGGCAAAGGCUCACCUCUCACGAGUCACUAAGAUCAGAGAUGCUAGGCGUUGGAAGUGACUCGAUGGUAGGCGACAGUAGUAAAGGCAAGGGACUGAGUGGUGACUAGCGAGUGCAUAGGCAACGGGAGAGAAAGCUCAAUAGGGUUUGCCUUUCGUGAAUUUGGAAUUAUUGGGGUAGGAAUUU
rnacentral:lncRNA from 1 species